GACCGCGUAGCUCAGUUGGUAGAGCAUUAGGCUAGUAUUCCAAAGGUCGUAGGUUCGAUUCCCACCGUGGCCA
rnacentral:tRNA from 1 species